CCCUGCCAUUUGUACACACCGCCCGUCGCUCCUACCGAUUGAAUGGUCCGGUGAGAACUCCGGAUCACGCGUGUGACGCUGGUUCGCCAGUGAUGCACGCGAGAGAAGUUGUUCGAACCUUACCAUUUAGAGGAAGGAGAAGUCGUAACAAGG
rnacentral:rRNA from 1 species